CAUAUAUUGUCUCCCCCUUUUUGAAAGAUAGGAACCUACAGUCCGGUCCGGAAAAGUCAUUUGAGGCUUUCCCCCGACAUAGAAGCACUGAAGAAAGAAAACAUUCGGAGGUUGACACAAUAAUGUUCCAGAUCACUGACGAAAAUUAACCAUCCAGUGUAAGAAGAACCUCACCCGCUCAGGUGGCCUGAAGGAGACAGGCAAGGACAAAGAUGUCCCUGGGCUGAGGGUGAUGACCUGGGGAAGGAGCGCGUUGAAGGACUCAGUGACGGUGGCCUGGAAGGGCCACUUCUGCAGCUUGCUGUCCACGUUGUUCCAGGGGAGGGUCUUGGUGAAAUCCCCGCCCAGUUCCCUGCUCUCCCACACGGGCUGUGCCCAAGUGUCCCCUCCAAGGAAGCAGCUACGCUGGGACAAGCUCCAACUCUGCAGCUCAGCGGAGCUCUGGUGGGUGGAGGCCUGCUGCUACAGAGACACACACACACACACACAAACACACAACACACAACACACACACACACACACACACACACA